rnacentral:rRNA from 1 species
UACGAAGGACCCGAGCGUUAUCCGGAUUUAUUGGGUUUAAAGGGUGCGUAGGCGGAUUAGUAAGUCAGUGGUGAAAGCCCGUCGCUUAACGGCGGAACUGCCAUUGAUACUGCUAGUCUUGAGUAUGGUUGAGGUGGGCGGAAUGUGUCAUGUAGCGGUGAAAUGCUUAGAUAUGACCCAGAACACCAAUUGCGAAGGCAGCUCGCUAAGCCAUAACUGACGCUGAGGCGCGAAAGCGUGGGGAGCAAACAGG